rnacentral:misc_RNA from 1 species
CUCUGCUGCUGCUCUUAUCCAGGUAUUUCUACCUACAAUAUCUGGACCUGCCAUAUAAUUACUUUCAUGGUAGCCUGUGUUUACCAUGAAUUUUAUACUACUCCUAUACUGUGGUUGUAGUUAAUCUGGGCAUAAGAGAAAGAGAAUAUUUUGCCAGAAGAAAAGAAGGCAAUGCUUUGAAUUUUUAACUUUCUGACAGUUGUUCCUUCUGCUUUUUACUCUGCUUUUGGUAUAUGAUUUUGCAUAUUAAGUGAAAUUCCAA